rnacentral:rRNA from 1 species
GGACCCGCACAACUGGUGGAGCGUGUGGUUUAAUUUGAGACGAAGCAAAAAACCUUACCAGGGUUUGACAUGAUACCGUUUUAUGCCUAUGGAAACACUGGCAGAUCCGCAAGGAUGGUACCACAGGUGCUGCAUGGCUGUCGUCAGCUCGUGUCGUGAGAUGUUCCCUUAAGUGGGGAAACGAGCGCAACCCCCGUGAAAUGUUAAAUAUUCAUUUCAGACGGUCCCGAUCAUAUCGGGAAGGAAGGAGGGGAAGACGUCAAGUCAGCAUGGUCCUUACACCCUGGGAUACACACACCCUACAAUGGCGAAGAACAAUGGGCUGCAAGCCAGCAAUGGCAAGCUAAUCUCAGAAAUUUCGCCUCAGUUCAGAUUGGGGGCUGCAACCCGCCCCCAUGAAGUCGGAAUCAGUAGUAAUCGCGGAUCAGAAGGCCGCGGUGAAUACGUUCUCGGGUCUUGUACACACCGCCCGUCAAGGCAGCAAAGUUGGGAGCGGAUGAAGGCUAUCGUAAGAUGGACGAGUCCGAGCUUAGCGAUGAAGCUU